rnacentral:rRNA from 1 species
AGUGAACGCUGGCGGUAGGCCUAACACAUGCAAGUCGAACGGCAGCACAGUAAGAGCUUGCUCUUACGGGUGGCGAGUGGCGGACGGGUGAGGAAUACAUCGGAAUCUACUUUUUCGUGGGGGAUAACGUAGGGAAACUUACGCUAAUACCGCAUACGACCUACGGGUGAAAGCAGGGGAUCUUCGGACCUUGCGCGAUUGAAUGAGCCGAUGUCGGAUUAGCUAGUUGGCGGGGUAAAGGCCCACCAAGGCGCCGAUCCGUAGCUGGUCUGAGAGGCUGAUCAGCCACACUGGAACUGAGACACGGUCCAGGCUCCUACGGGAGGCAGCAGUGGGGAAUAUUGGACAAUGGGCGCAAGCCUGAUCCAGCCAUACCGCGUGGGUGAAGAAGGCCUUCGGGUUGUAAAGCCCUUUUGUUGGGAAAGAAAAGCAGCAGGUUAAUACCCCGCUGUUCUGACGGUACCCAAAGAAUAAGCACCGGCUAACUUCGUG